CAUGUUGAAAAAUUACUAGGGUCACUUCAUACCUUAAUGGGAAAAAAGUCAAUAACUACUUCUGAGGGUUCACAGACACUCUGAUUAACGUAAAGAAGUUGAAUAUAAAUAGAAAGAUUCUUCUGUUACAUUUUGUAAGAUUACUAGGGAGUAGUAGCCUACACUGGAACUUCCCGUUUUUGCAAAUUAGUGCCAGUCUGUCAUGAACGAGAAUGAAUGGAUGAAUUUGAUUAUGAUGAAGUCAUAAGUGGACACCAUCAGCUUCCAACCAUCGUGCAAAUUUACCCGCGUCUUUCCCUUUUGUGUUCAUACAUACAGCCCACCUGCGUGACAUCUAGAUCAUGUCCAGAUUCCAGUGUAUGUCUGAAAGGGGCUUAUGGAACUGAAAUGAAUGGCAGCUUCAAAUUAACUGCAUGAAAUUAAUGUAGUUAAUUCGCCAACUUUAUUUGCCAAUUGCCUUUCAAAUAUCAUCCACCCCAUUCCUUUUUUGCAAUAUGUUUGGACAACUCAAAAGCAGACACAGGAAUCCUAAACCUCCCAUCCAUUUCACAGUAGGGCUAUACAGACUGGGGUUUAUAAAACAAAUCUAUCAACCCAAUUCUGUCCACACAUUAUAUAGACAUUUGGCAUAAUGGGAUUCUAUCCCUGAGAUGGUACUGGUCUGUAGGCC